GACGAACGCUGGCGGCGUGCCUAAUACAUGCAAGUCGAGCGGAUGAGAAAGGAGCUUGCUCCUUUCGAUUCAGCGGCGGACGGGUGAGUAACACGUGGGCAACCUGCCUGUAAGACUGGGAUAACUCCGGGAAACCGGGGCUAAUACUGGAUAACUCAUGAGACUGCAUAGUCUGAUGAUAAAAGAUGGUUAUGCUAUCACUUACAGAUGGGCCCGCGGCGCAUUAGCUAGUUGGUGAGGUAACGGCUCACCAAGGCGACGAUGCGUAGCCGACCUGAGAGGGUGAUCGGCCACACUGGGACUGAGACACGGCCCAGACUCCUACGGGAGGCAGCAGUAGGGAAUCUUCCGCAAUGGACGAAAGUCUGACGGAGCAACGCCGCGUGAGCGAUGAAGGCCUUCGGGUCGUAAAGCUCUGUUGUUAGGGAAGAACAAGUAUGAGUUACUGCUCAUACCGUGACGGUACCUAACGAGAAAGCCACGGCUAACUACGUGCCAGCAGCCGCGGUAAUACGUAAGUGGCAAGCGUUGUCCGGAUUUAUUGGGCGUAAAGCGCGCGCA
rnacentral:rRNA from 1 species